rnacentral:rRNA from 2 species
UAGAGUUUGAUCCUGGCUCANAUUGAACGCUGGCGGCAGGCCUAACACAUGCAAGUCGAGCGGUAACAGAGAGUAGCUUGCUACUCUGCUGACGAGCGGCGGACGGGUGAGUAAUGCUUGGGAAUGUACCUUAUGGUGGGGGACAACUGUUGGAAACGACUGCUAAUACCGCAUAAUGUCUUCGGACCACAGCGGGGGACCUUCGGGCCUCGCGCCAUAAGAUCAGCCCAAGUGGGAUUAGCUAGUUGGUGAGGUAAUGGCUCACCAAGGCGACGAUCCCUANCUGGUUUGAGAGGAUGAUCAGCCACACUGGGACUGAGACACGGCCCANACUCCUACGGGAGGCAGCAGUGGGGAAUAUUGCACAAUGGGCGCAAGCCUGAUGCAGCCAUGCCGCGUGUGUGAAGAAGGCCUUCGGGUUGUAAAGCACUUUCAGUAAGGAGGAAAGGUUGGAUGUUAAUAGCAUNCAGCUGUGACGUCACUUACAGAAGAAGCACCGGCUAACUCCGUGCCAGCAGNCGCGGUAAUACGGAGGGUGCGAGCGUUAAUCGGAAUUACUGGGCGUAAAGCGUACGCAGGCGGUUNGUUAANCGANAUGUGAAANCCCCGGGCUCAACCUGGGAACUGCAUUUCGAACUGGCAAACUAUAAUGUGAUAAAAGGUGGUAAAAUUU